rnacentral:lncRNA from 1 species
ACUCAGGGGAAGAUUUAAAAAGCCUCGGCAAACUUGCCCCCACGUAAGUCCUUGUGUAACAUUCCACAUUGCCUAGGGGAGUGAUCCUUAAAUGUAUAUUCCCAUCCUUACCUAGCACGAGGCCUUUUGGGAGCUCACUGGCUUUGGGUUCCGUAGGAACUCCAAAGUUAAGCUAAAAGAAGGCCAGAGCAUUUCCAGGAUGGGUGACCCAUUGGGAAGUUGCUCAUGAGUUCCCAGAAACAAAACCGUGAGGGAAUGGUAAGCCCAAAGCGGACAAUAUCGUGCUAUGGUGGUAGAACGGGCCCGGGAUGUGGUGGACCCAGGUCGGGAUUUGACAAAAUGAUAUCAGAGCCAAUCCCUGGCUGAAAGUAUGCCGAUAAGGACGUCGGGCCCCUGAGGGGGGUGGAUAGUGACAUCCCACAUCGCCCAGGGAAGUGAUCUUUAAAUGUAUAUUCCUAUCCCUACCUAGCACGAGGUCUUUUUGGAGCUCACUGGCUUCGGGUUCCGUAGGAACUCCGACGUUAAGCGAGAAUGAGGCCAGAGCACUCCUAGGAUGGGUGACCCACUGGGAAGUUGCUCGUGAGUUCCCAAAAACAAAACUGUGAGGGAAUGGUAAGCCCAAAGCGGACAAUAUCGUGCUACGGUGGUAGAGUGGGCCCGGGAUGUGGUGGAACCGGGCCAGGAUGUGACUGCGCUUGGUGAAAGUAUUAUGGAGAAAUCAUUCAAUGGAAGAAGCUACUUGGGAGAUAGAGGAUCGAAUGAGAGAGAUGUACCCACACUUGUUUUAUGAUUACUAGUGGAUGUAUUGGUUGUAUGUAAUUUCGAGGAUAAAAUUUUAUAAGGUGGGGAGAUUGUCACAACUCGUCCCGGAAAUGUGUGUUAUUUAUUUAACGACGGCGUGAAAUUACCUAAAUACCCUUAGACGUUGAGAAUUAUUAUGGGAUGUUGUGGUUUAGACUUAAGAUUGUGGACCAAUUAGCUAUAUUCCUCUAUUAUUGGACCCAAUUAGAACUAAGUGUUCUCUUAGUUGUGAUUGGUGGCUUUUGGACCACACACCCACCUAUCUUCUCUCUCCUUCCCGUUUCAUCUCUCUCUCACAGACUCUCUCUUUCUCUAUCUCUUCUCUCUUGUACGGACAACUCUCAAGCACUAUCUACCAUUCACAGAUUGAGGAAUUUAAAGUCACUAUCGUCUUCCUGGUGACUCCACGAGUCGAAUAGUAAGCCCAAAACGGACAAUAUCGUGCAACGGUGGUGGAACGGGCCCGGGAUGUGACAAAUGGUAUCAGAGUCAAUCCCUGGCUAGAAGUGUGCCGAUGAGGACGUCGGGCCCCUAAGGGGGUGGAUUGUGACAUCCCACAUCGCCUAGGGGAGUGAUCCUUAAAUGUAUAUUCCCAUCCCUACCUAGCACAAGGCCUUUUGGGAGCUCACUGACUUCGGGUUCCAUAGGAACUUCGAAGUUAAGCGAGAAGGAGGCCAGAGCACUCCCAGGAUGGGUGACCCACUAGGAAGUUGCUCGUGAGUUCCCAAAAGCAAAACCGUGAGAGAAUGGUAAGCCUAAAGCAGACAAUAUCGUGCUACGGUGGUAGAGCGGGCGCGGGAUGUGGUAAACUCGGGCCGGGAUGUGACAAAUCGAAUGGUAAGCCCAAAGCGGACAAUAUCGUGCUACGGUGGUAGAACGGGCCUGCGAUGUGGUGGACCCAAGCCGAGAUGUGACAAAUGGUAUCAGAGCCAAUCCCUGACCGGAAGUGUGUCGAUGAGGACGUCGGGCCCCUAAGGGGGGUGGAUUGUGACAUCCCACAUCGCCCAAGGGAGUGAUCCUUAAAUGUAUAUUCUCAUCCCUACCUAGCACGAGGCCUUUUGGGAGGUCACUGGCUUCGGGUUCCGUAGGAACUCCGAAGUUAAGCGAGAAGGAGGCCAAAGCACUCCCAGGAUGGGUGACCCAUUAGGAAGUUGCUCGUGAGUUCCCAAAAACAAAACCGUGAGGGAAUGGUAAGCCCAAAGCGGACAAUAUCGUGCUACGGUGGUAGAGCGGGCCCGGGAUGUGGUGGACCCAGGCCGGGAUGUGACAAAUAGUAUCAGAGCCAAUCCCUGCCCGGAAGUGUGUCGACGAGGACGUCUGGCCCCUAAGGGGGGUGGAUUGUAACAUUCCACAUCGCCCAGGAGGGGAGUGAUCCUUAAAUGUAUAUUCCCAUCCCUACCUAGCACGAGGCUUUUUGGGAGCUUACUGGCUUCGAGUUCCGUAAGAACUCCGAAGUUAAGCGAGAAGGAGGCCAGAGCACUCCCAGGAUGGAUGACCCACUGGGAAGUUGCUCGUGAGUUCCCAAAAAUAAAACCGUGAGGGAAUGGUAAGCCUAAAGCCGACAAUAUCGUGCUACGGUGGUGGAACGAGCCCGGGGCCGGGAUGUGACACCUUGUGCUUAUAUAAGUUUGAUUACAGUGGCAUGUUGAUUACCGUCUUGUUGUUAAGAUCCUACGUAAAGAGAAUUGCUCGAUCGAUAUCAAACAACUUAGCUUGAUCCUUAUGAUAACCGUCAUUUUCUUGCUUUGCGUUUGUUAAUUUCUUUUCAUUUAUGAUAACCACGAUUUGGUAAUAUAUCAACCUUCAUAAUUAAUGAUGUUUAUGUAUCAGCUUGUCUGAUGGCUUAUCAUUUAUUAAUUUGUAUUCGUAUUGAUUCAUUCAUGAUCGUUGAUGUUUUAUUGGACAGAAUUGAGAAGGCAAAGCUUGGAUUUGGCAUGAAGGUCCCCAGAAUGGCUGUGUGAACAUUCACUUUGCGAUUUAAAUCUUGUAUGCUUCGAGUCUUUAAAGAUGAUAAUGACAUGUCAAUCACCGUUUAAAUUCUUGGCGUGUUCUUGGAUCCUAUGUGUUUGUUAGUUGUUCAUAUGUUUGCAUCUCUGCGAAUGUAGGUGAUAUGUACAUUGUAUCAUCCAGUUGUGU